GGCGUCCGAGUUGUAAUUUGUAGAGGAUGCUAUUGGGUUGUCACCGGUCUAAGUUCCUUGGAACAGGACGUCGCAGAGGGUGAGAAUCCCGUAUGUGACCGGCCAGACGCCCUCCGUAUAGCUCCUUCGACGAGUCGGGUUGUUUGGGAAUGCAGCCCUAAAUGGGAGGUAAAUUUCUUCUAAAGCUAAAUACCGGCCAGAGACCGAUAGCGCACAAGUAGAGUGAUCGAAAGAUGAAAAGCACUUUGGAAAGAGAGUUAAAAAGCACGUGAAAUUGUUGAAAGGGAAGCGCUUGCCAUCAGUCUCGACGGCGGCCGUUCGGCCUCUCUUCUGAGUGGUUUACUCGGUCGCCGCCGGGCCAGCAUCAGUUCUGGCGGUCGGACAAAGGCGGUGGGAACGUAGCUCCCCUCGGGGAGUGUUAUAGCCCGCCGCGCAAUACGGCCCGCCGGGACUGAGGUCCGCGCUUCGGCUAGGAUGCUGGCGAAAUGGUUGUAAGCGGCCCGUCUUGAAACACGGACCAAGGAGUCUAACAUCUAUGCGAGUGUUUGGGUGUCAAACCCGUGCGCGUAAUGAAAGUGAACGGAGGUGGGAACCGCAAGGUGCACCAUCGACCGAUCCUGAUGUCUUCGGAUGGAUUUGAGUAAGAGCAUAGCUGUUGGGACCCGAAAGAUGGUGAACUAUGCCUGAAUAGGGUGAAGCCAGAGGAAACUCUGGUGGAGGCUCGCAGCGGUUCUGACG
rnacentral:rRNA from 1 species